rnacentral:rRNA from 1 species
CCAAUAGCGUAUAUUAAAGUUGUUGCAGUUAAAAAGCUCGUAGUUGAAUUUCGGGAUUAGUACGUUGGUCGUGCCUUGGUACGUACUGGUGUAACUGAUUCCUCCCUUCUGACGAACCGUCAUGCCAUUAAUUUGGUGUGGCGGGAAAUCAGGACUGUUACUUUGAAAAAAUUAGAGUGUUUAAAGCAGGCUCGCGCUUGAAUACAUUAGCAUGGAAUAA